UACGUAGGGUGCGAGCGUUGUCCGGAAUUAUUGGGCGUAAAGGGCUCGUAGGCGGUUUGUCGCGUCGGGAGUGAAAACCUCGGGCUUAACUCGGGGCUUGCUUUCGAUACGGGCAGACUGGAGGUAUGCAGGGGAGAACGGAAUUCCUGGUGGUAGCGGUGGAAAUGCGCAGAUAUCAGGAGGAACACCGGUGGCGAAGGCGGUUCUCUGGGCAUGACCUGACGCUGAGGAGCGAAAGUGUGGGGAGCGAACAGG
rnacentral:rRNA from 1 species